GUUCGGAAUCGAGAAGCCCGUGGCUCUCUGAAGUCCCCUUUCCCCUUUCCACGAAGAACCAACCCUAAUUUAUCAAAAUGGAUCUUCGAUCCCCUUUCUCUUCCUCUUCUCUGUUUACUACGUUACACGAAAUCUUUAUGGCGAUGGAGGCUUGCCGCAGAAAAACUUGCCGUCGCCGGCUCAACCUCCGUCUGAGAGCCAGAGAACCGCGGCGGAAGAACCAAGGACCUCAGCGACAACAAUUGGAGCCUAGAGCACCAAUAAGUCUGAGAAAAACUUAGUCUGUGUGAUUGCCCUCUAAUAAGUCUUAGUCCCCUGCUUUCAUUUGUUUUAUUUUAAAUAGUUCUUCCCUCUUUUCAGUUCUUGCAGGCGCUCUUUUGAUAUUUGUAAAGAGAACAUUUUUGCAAGCAAUUUAUCAUUGAGCAUAAUGAUAGUAAUUGCCACUCAAUUUCCCAUUCAGGUAACAAUACUCUUUUAAAAUAAUUGUCACAUAAUGAUUGUUUGCAGGAAUAGCCAUUACAAAAGAAGCUUUGGGAUUUUGGACGGUGAAGUUGUUUCGAAAGAUGGGGUGUGGAUGCUAUUGUUUCCCAAUUAGUGAAAUGGGUGAUGCAUGCUAUGCUGCCACAUGUAUUUUCCAAGUCAAAAGCACAAUGGAUACUCCUUUGGCUAUGGGAGCUUUUGUUUCAGCAAGAUUUCUUAAGUUUCUUCUUAGCACAACGGUUCGCAAUAGGAAAAGCUUUGUGGUUCAAAGUAAGAGACUGGUCUUUGCGGGUUAGGGACGUCCAGUGCAUGGAUGAGCUGAUUUUCUUAGUCCUGGAAGUGGACUGCAGAACAGUGUCUCCACGUCUCCUUACGGACUUUGGUUUCCCUUGCUCCAAAGGUGGUCCACAGACCAUCCAAAACCUAACAAAACAAUUCCAUCCAAGCUUAACCGAAGAGUAGCUUAGAUGCUUGGCGAACCAGCAAUGUAUUUCUUUUCUCAUAGUUGUAACAUGGUAGAGGAAUAGAUGAAGUAUGUGUGCGCGCACACGUUGGUGGAAGAAGAAACCAUUCACACGGGAGAAGAUUAAAAAAAAAGAAGGAAAAUGCCUCAAAUUUUUCUUCCUUGAAAAAAGGUUCAACACCCAACCAAUCAAGACCCGAGAAACAACAUGGUCCUUUAAUGGCAGCCAUGAACUCGAGUGUUCUCACCUGUAGCUACGUAAUCUCUGGCACUGGCUCAGAAGAGCUGAACCAGAAAAUGUGUUUAGUGAAUUCAUCAGUUGGGUUUGGUUAGAAGAACAUACAGUUCCCGGUAUCAAAGCUGUCCUAAGAGUUGGUGGUGAUGUGGUUAAUGGAAGAAGAUCCGCCAUGGUUAUCUUAGCUGCUACACUUUUCUCCUCUACUUAUGGAUCUGCUUCCGCUAAUGCUGGCGUCAUUGAUGAUUUCUACGAAAGAUCAAAGCCAACAAAAGUAAAGUCUUGAAACGUUAUGAAUCUUGUUGACAUCUCUUAAAAAACCUUUUUAUAAUGCAAAGUAAUCUAUUUCUGAUGAUAGGAACUGAAUGAUAAGAAAACUUUAGCAACAAGUGGAGCAAACUUUGUUAGAGAUCCACUUUGAUUAUAUGUUUAUUUUUCCUUAACACUCUAAUUAUAUGUUUGUUUUCAAAUAAUAGAUAUCGCUGUCUCGAUAUA